GGCCUUGUAGCUCAAAAGGCAGAGCAUCGUUCAAGACAUACGAUGGUGGCGAGUUCGAUUCCCAGCCGUGGUCA
rnacentral:tRNA from 1 species